UCUCCCUGGGCGUCUAAGGGUUGGGGCUGCUCAGUUCCAUGGCCGGAGGUUUUCAGAGAGCAGCUGGCGACGUGGCUUGUCGCGGGUGGAAUCCUAGGAGGAACUGACCUAAAAGCAAGUGAGAGACAGAAAACACAUCCUCCAGGAGCAGAGUGCCAAAUGGGAAAGAGAGAAUUCAUGACGCUGAGUGAACCGUAAUAUGAACUAC